rnacentral:rRNA from 1 species
UCCUUAGUUACCAGCACGUUAUGGUGGGCACUCUAAGGAGACGUGCCGGUGACAAACCGGAGGAAGGUGGGGAUGACGUCAAGUCAUCAUGGCCCUUACGGCCUGGGCUACACACGUGCUACAAUGGUCGGUACAAAGGGUUGCCAAGCCGCGAGGUGGAGCUAAUCCCAUAAAACCGAUCGUAGUCCGGAUCGCAGUCUGCAACUCAACUGCGUGAAGUCGGAAUCGCUAGUAAUCGUGAAUCAGAAUGUCACGGUGAAUACGUUCCCGGGCCUU